rnacentral:sRNA from 1 species
AUUUACUAUGCAGAUAACUAAAUACUAACUAAAUUGAUUUUACAACUCACUAAUGGGUAUCAACUCAGUUUGAAAACCACUCGUGGGGGUCUACAACAAGAAGUGUAUAUUUUCAAACAAUUUUUUAAUGAUUUAACAAUUUUUGUAAAUCAUUUUCAGGCUUCUGCAGCUGUAGAUUCUCACUGUGAAUCCCAUGCUUGCUCAUGCAUAAGUGUAUUUGCAAUACCAAAUAUAGUUUAGUAUUUUUGCCUGUUAGUGAUGGUUCCACAUGUAUAAGGUUUUGGUUGAGAUUUUAAAUGGUAGACAAGUACUGUGGAUGUGAAUGUGGGGAAGUAAUUUUAAUCAUAUGUAAUUGGUCACAAGGCCUAAUUUGCAGUAACUAUUGCUGUUUUAUUUAACAGUGCCUUGUUGCUUUGUAUGCAUUUAUGUUUGGAUGUAAAGAUUGUGUGUCCAUCCAACAGGGAGCCACAGUAUUUAAAUUGACCAACCUAAUGUUACAACUACUUUGAGGUGGCCAAAUGUAAACUGAAAGCAUUAAUUAAAGUGGUGCAAUUUUGUAUAACUUAGCAUUAGUAGUUCAAUAAAUUUGGAUUGCCAUGCAAAAAAAAAAAAAAAAAGAAAAGAAAGAAAACCACUGUUAUAAUAUAGCUUGUAAACCUCUUCAGUAAUCAGCUAUUGUGGGAAGAUGAUUGAUCUCUCUCAAACUAAACUGCAGAUUUUCCUUCUUCAUAUAUGUAUGUUUCAGGAUCAUCCAGAUGCUUGGUCUUUGAUUGGCAAUCUUCAUUUGGCAAAACAAGAAUGGGGUCCUGGACAGAAGAAGUUUGAGAGGAUAUUAAAACAGCCAUCCACACAGAGUGACACCUAUUCUAUGCUAGCCCUUGGCAACGUGUGGCUCCAAACUUUACAUCAGCCCACCCGAGAUCGAGAAAAGGAAAAGCGUCAUCAAGAUCGUGCUCUGGCCAUCUACAAACAAGUACUCAGAAAUGAUGCAAAGAAUCUGUAUGCUGCCAAUGGCAUAGGAGCUGUUUUGGCCCACAAAGGAUAUUUUCGUGAAGCUCGUGAUGUAUUUGCCCAAGUAAGAGAAGCAACAGCAGAUAUUAGUGAUGUGUGGUUGAACUUAGCACACAUCUAUGUGG